GGCGAUGUAGCCAAGUGGUUACGGCGAUUGACUCGAAUCUUCUCUUGCUUCGUUCCAUCAAUUGGGUUUACCCGCGUAGGUUCGAAUCCUGCCAUCGUCG